rnacentral:lncRNA from 1 species
CUCAUAAAAAUAAAAGUGUUUGCUGCUUGAGCUGAAUCCCUUCCCAACACUAAAAAAUCAUCCGUAUGUAUCAGUUCUUCUGUUUUCUUCCCCAGGCUUUCCAACAGAUAUUCUUGGAGGAGUCAGCCAUGGCUAGGUUUAUAAAAAUGAACAGGAACAGGGAUAUGGCAGAGUAAAGAGGUUUAUUUCUCAGUAUGCUGUUGCCCCAUCUGAGAGAUGAGAGUAAUAUUCACUCGAAUGGGAGGUGUGAGGGUUGCAAACCUCAGGCCUGACACAGCCCUGAUGGCAUGAGGCAGCUAAUGAUGGUCUCCCCUCUGCUUGGUGAUGGUGUCUGGACAUGGUGAUGCUGUGGGGAGGACCUUUUGAUGUGAGGGUGAACCCCAGGAGCAACAGCCAAGAGAGAAC